rnacentral:tRNA from 1 species
GCGGGAGUGGUGGAAUAGGUAGUCACAACUGGUUUAGGUCCAGUCGCUGAAAGGCGUGCAGGUUCGAGUCCUGUCUCCCGUACCA